UACGGAAGGCAGCAGUGGGGAAUAUUGCACAAUGGGCGCAAGCCUGAUGCAGCCAUGCCGCGUGUAUGAAGAAGGCCUUCGGGUUGUAAAGUACUUUCAGCGGGGAGGAAGGCGAUGCGGUUAAUAACCGCGUCGAUUGACGUUACCCGCAGAAGAAGCACCGGCUAACUCCGUGCCAGCAGCCGCGGUAAUACGGAGGGUGCAAGCGUUAAUCGGAAUUACUGGGCGUAAAGCGCACGCAGGCGGUCUGUUAAGUCAGAUGUGAAAUCCCCGGGCUUAACCUGGGAACUGCAUUUUGAAACUGGCAGGCUUGAGUCUUGUAGAGGGGGUAGAAUUCCAGGUGUAGCGGUGAAAUGCGUAGAGAUCUGGAGGAAUACCGGUGGCGAAGGCGGCCCCUGGGACAAAGACUGACGCUCAGGGUGCGAAAGCGUGGGGAGCAAACGAGGAUUAGGAUACC
rnacentral:rRNA from 1 species